GGGUUGCCGCAAGCUAAACAUGCAAGUCGAGCGGUAGAGAGAAGCUUGCUUCUCUUGAGAGCGGCGGACGGGUGAGUAAUGCCUAGGAAUCUGCCUGGUAGUGGGGGAUAACGUUCGGAAACGGACGCUAAUACCGCAUACGUCCUACGGGAGAAAGCAGGGGACCUUCGGGCCUUGCGCUAUCAGAUGAGCCUAGGUCGGAUUAGCUAGUUGGUGAGGUAAUGGCUCACCAAGGCGACGAUCCGUAACUGGUCUGAGAGGAUGAUCAGUCACACUGGAACUGAGACACGGUCCAGACUCCUACGGGAGGCAGCAGUGGGGAAUAUUGGACAAUGGGCGAAAGCCUGAUCCAGCCAUGCCGCGUGUGUGAAGAAGGUCUUCGGAUUGUAAAGCACUUUAAGUUGGGAGGAAGGGUUGUAGAUUAAUACUCUGCAAUUUUGACGUUACCGACAGAAUAAGCACCGGCUAACUCUGUGCCAGCAGCCGCGGUAAUACAGAGGGUGCAAGCGUUAAUCGGAAUUACUGGGCGUAAAGCGCGCGUAGGUGGUUUGUUAAGUUGGAUGUGAAAUCCCCGGGCUCAACCUGGGAACUGCAUUCAAAACUGACUGACUAGAGUAUGGUAGAGGGUGGUGGAAUUUCCUGUGUAGCGGUGAAAUGCGUAGAUAUAGGAAGGAACACCAGUGGCGAAGGCGACCACCUGGACUAAUACUGACACUGAGGUGCGAAAGCGUGGGGAGCAAACAGGAUAGAUACCCUGGUAGUCCACGCCGUAACGAUGUCAACUAGCCGUUGGAAGCCUUGAGCUUUUGUGGCCACUAACGCAUUAAUUGACCGCUGGGGAGUAGGCCGCAGGUAAAACUCAAUGAAUUGACGGGGCCCGCACACCGGUGGAGCAUGUGGUUUAUUCCA
rnacentral:rRNA from 1 species